UACGGAGGGUGCGAGCGUUGUUCGGAAUCACUGGGCGUAAAGGGCGCGUAGGCGGGAUGGCAAGUCAGUCGUGAAAUCUCUCGGCUCAACCGAGAAACGUCGGCUGAUACUGCCGUUCUUGAGGGAUGCAGAGGAGACUGGAAUUCCCGGUGUAGCGGUGAAAUGUGUAGAGAUCGGGAGGAACACCGGUGGCGAAGGCGGGUCUCUGGGCAUCUCCUGACGCUGAGGCGCGAAAGCGUGGGGAGCAAACGGG
rnacentral:rRNA from 1 species